rnacentral:rRNA from 1 species
AAUCAACGCUGGCGGCGUGCCUCAGACAUGCAAGUCGAACGCGAAAGCUCCCUUCGGGGAGCAAGUAGAGUGGCGCACGGGUGAGUAACACGUAGGUAAUCUACCUUUGGAUUGGGAAUAACAACCGGAAACGGUUGCUAAUACCGAAUAAUGCAGCGGCACCUAAUGGUGACAGUUGUUAAAGCGGGGGAUCGCAAGACCUCGCGUCUGAAGAGGAGCCUGCGGCAGAUUAGCUAGUUGGUAAGGUAAUGGCUUACCAAGGCUAUGAUCUGUAGCCGGCCUGAGAGGGCGGUCGGCCACACUGACACUGACAUACGGGUCAGACUCCUACGGGAGGCAGCAGUCGGGAAUUUUGGGCAAUGGGCGAAAGCCUGACCCAGCAACGCCGCGUGAAGGAUGAAAUCCCUCGGGAUGUAAACUUCGCAAGAACGGGAAGAAUAAGUCGGUGUAAAUACCACCGACGAUGACGGUACUGUUUGUAAGCUCCGGCUAACUCCGUGCCAGCAGCCGCGGUAAUACGGGGGGAGCAAGCGUUGUUCGGAUUUACUGGGCGUAAAGGGCGCGUAGGCGGCCACCGCAAGUCAGUUGUGAAAUCUCCGGGCUUAACCCGGAAAGGUCAACUGAUACUGCGGGGCU